AUAAAAAUAGACUAAAUAAAGUCAUUAAACUCAUAAUUUAAUAAUAUAGAAAUAUUUUUUAUU
rnacentral:tRNA from 1 species